GGUACGGGGAAUUAUCGUUUGAUUCCGGAGAGGGAGCCUGAGAGACGGCUACCGGGUCCAAGGACAACAGCAGGCGCGAAAAUUACCGCAGCCUGCGAUCAGGGCGGUAGUAAGGAGACGUGAUGACGAAGUGCUGAUAAAAGCUGCACUAGUGACAGGAGGAAAAGACUGGUGCCAGCACCCGCGGUAAUACCAGCUCCUGGAGUGUCUAUGAUGAUUGCUGCAGUUAAAGAGUUCGUAGCCGAGGCAUUAUUAACAGCGUUAAAGGGGAUAUCUCAAUUAUCCCUGUGCGCAGUGAUUUUGCAGAAUAAGGAGUGCUUAGGGGCUAGAGUAUCAUACGGCGACUGGUGAAAUGGGAUGACCCGUGUGGGAGUAACAGAGGCGAAAGCGCUGGCCAGGGGCGAAUCCGAUGGUAAAGGACGUAGGCUAGAGGAUCGAAGACGAUUAGAGACCGUUGUAGUUCUAGCAGUAAACGAUGCCGAUGUCGUGGUGCCGAAAAAUGGCGACGCGAAAGAGAAAUCGAGUAGGGCCCUGGGGAGAGUACACGCGCAAGCGAGAAAUUUAAAGGAAAUUGACGGAAGAACACCACAAGGAGUGGAGUGUGCGGCUUAAUUUGACUCAACGCGGGACAACUUACCGGGCCCGACGACCGUAAGAGUGUGACACACGAUAGGUCGAAGAGUGGUGCAUGGCCGUUAACGACGAGUGGAGUGAUCUUUGGGUUAAGUCCGUAAAUUAGUGAGACCUCAGCCGUAAGGGACAGGUGCGCAAAGCACAGGAAGGAUGGGUCAAGGACAGGUCAGUGAUGCCCUUAGAUGGUCCGGGCUGCACGCGCACUACAGUGGUCGCCGAAAUUAGCUGAUAAUUUUAAAGGCGAUCGAGAGGGAAUGAGCUUUGUAAGAGGCUCAGGAACGAGGAAUUGCUAGUAAUCGCGGACUCAUUAAGACGC
rnacentral:rRNA from 1 species